AGAUUGAACGCUGGCGGCAGGCCUAACACAUGCAAGUCGAGCGGUAGAGAGGUGCUUGCACCUCUUGAGAGCGGCGGACGGGUGAGUAAUGCCUAGGAAUCUGCCUAGUGGUGGGGGAUAACGUUCGGAAACGGACGCUAAUACCGCAUACGUCCGUACGGGAGAAAGCGGGGGACCUUCGGGCCUCGCGCCAUUAGAUGAGCCUAGGUCGGAUUAGCUAGUUGGUGA
rnacentral:rRNA from 1 species